UACAGAGGGUGCGAGCGUUAAUCGGAGUUACUGGGCGUAAAGGGCGCGUAGGCGGUUUAAUAAGAUUGAUGUGAAAUCCCUGGGCUUAACCUAGGAACUGCAUCGAUGACUGUUGAGCUGGAGUACUGUAGAGGGUAGUAGAAUUUCCGGUGUAGCGGUGAAAUGCGUAGAGAUCGGAAGGAAUACCAGUGGCGAAGGCGGCUACCUGGACAGAUACUGACGCUGAGGCGCGAGAGCGUGGGGAGCAAACAGG
rnacentral:rRNA from 1 species